AAAGCUGCUAAUGAAGUGAGAUGGAAGCCACGUGCCUUGCCAGGAGCUUACUAACGUAAUGUGGCACCCGCCAGCCUAUUCUGCAGACAUAAUGGAAGAGAGUGUUUCCACUGCUCAUUCCACAGGCAAGCCACAGAUCCUGGCCACUCCUUGCCUUGGAGGCAGUACAGACACAUUCAUAGGGUUUGGCUCCUUUCCCUUGAGUUCUGCACCUUAAACUAAAGAAGUCAGUCACGCGAGGCUGGCUUGCUGGAACCGGCUAGAAAAUGCAGCCCUGCCUGCCGCAGGGAUCUCCUCCGGUAUGGCCACACAUAUGAGUUCUGGCAAUGCCCAUUAGUGAUAUGGCCGAUAGUUUCUUCUGUCUUGCUUCCAGGAACCUUUUCUUGGUUUGAAGCCACCGAACCAGAAGAGAGAAUUUUUACCACUUUGAGGACUUCUUGUGACGAAUCCAAUGGGAAUUCCAUAAUAUUCAGAAACAAAACAUUUUGAGGGCCAACAAAUUAUUAAGCCCUUUGCUAGGUCUUAGAGAUACAAAGAUAAAGAAGACUGGAGUUUUCUUUUUAUUAUCUACCAGACUGAAGGCCACUGCCUGGGGACUUGAUCUAAGAGAAGAAAUAUCAGGAGACCUGGGUUUGGCUCCUGGCUCUGCCAGGUGAUCAUGGAGCAGUCACGUAUUAUCCCUGAGCUUCCGUUUCCUCAUCUACUUAAUUAGUGAUGGGUCUACAGGGCCUUGCUGGGGUCCACUUCUGACAUUCUGUGUUGCAUGGACCAUGUCAGAGAAGAUGGAGACACCUUCACGGCCUGUUAGUCACAUCUCACCAAAGCUUCUCAAUGGGCUGUCAGACAAGAAAGGAGCCUCCUGUAGCCAUCUUAAUCAGCAUCCCCCAUCUGUGAGGUCAUCGGGAUAUUUCAAACAAUCUUCAGCUCUCAUUAGUUGAGUGCGUUUCACAGGCAAGUCCUUAUCUUUUGUAACUUUUGCUGCCACAUCCUGAGAAAGGCCUCUCUGCAGAAUGACACUUUCCCUAUGGGUCAGCCCGCCAUAAUGAGCCACCAACUGAGGUGCCCUUUGCACUCACUAGCUGUAUAUGUUGAUAUUAACCUUUCGUGUUGCGAGAUGUCGCUUUUACCCUUGGCUUCUGCCAUGUAAGUCUCAUUAUUUCUAAUAGGCUGUGGCAAUUAGGGUCUUGGGGCUGCUGAUCGCAGCCAUGUGGAGCGGGGAAGGGGCACUGGGGAGAGCAGUUGCUUUUUCUUUCAUGAACAAUGUGAUGCAUAGCUCAGCCCAGAUCUGCAAACAGCGAGCUGUAGUAGACCUCCGGCCGAGGAUGGGAAAUUCCACACCCAGCGCUUUCACAUGUCCUUUCUUCACGCCAACUACUGGCUAUUUGCAAAUCCCUUUUGUGUAGAAUGACAUGCUUGGCAGAUAUUUCAGCACAUUGGAUUUGGCCUAAUAAGGAAUUUAUUAAACAAGAUUAUUUGGGGAUAAAAUGGAUACAUUCAAAGACACUCUUUUUUUUUCUUUUAAAGAUAGUUGUCCGGAAAAGGAAGAGGAUGACACUGAUGACCAGCCGUCUUGGGUGGUUCACAGGCUCACUAAGGAGGCAGUGUUGAGCCUGACGGAUCUGUGAAGGCCCCUCCGACUUGUAACUGUAAAAUGAUGACUCUUGAUGGAACUCUACAGUUGUUGACACCUGGUGGGCCACCUACAGCUGAAGGUUCAAAGUGAUAAAACAAACCUGGUACGGAAAUAACUGAUUGUGGAACGCGAAGGACCUGUGAUCAUGCAAAGGUGACAGAGCAGACACUGAUAGUAGAACUGUGGAGAAGUAUCCCUGGAGAUGACCCACAAUCUCAAGAAGGCUGAAGAGGAGAGGAAGAGAAUGGAUAAAUCGAAACAAGUGUUUAGAUGAUCAAGGCCUUAUAAGCCAUACCGCCAUGUAAGACGUGCCAUUCACCUUCCACCAUGAUUG
rnacentral:lncRNA from 1 species